rnacentral:rRNA from 1 species
AUUCCAGCUCCAAUAGCGUAUAUUAAAGUUGUUGCAGUUAAAAAGCUCGUAGUUGGAUUUCUGGCAGGAGUGACUGACCACAAACUCUGUUUGUGAGUUGUGUCAUUCUGGCCAUCCUUGGUAAGAUCCUUUUUGGCAUUAAGUUGUCGGGAAGGGGAUGACCAUCGUUUACUGUGAAAAAAUUAGAGUGUUUAAAGCAGGCUUAUGCCGUUGAAUAUAUUAGCAUGGAAUAAUAAGAUAGGACUUUGAGUCUAUUUUGUUGGUUUGCGAGUCAAAGUAAUGAUUAAUAGGGACAGUCAGGGGCACUCGUAUUCCGUCGAGAGAGGUGAAAUUCUCAGACCAAUGGAAGACGAACCACUGCGAAAGCACUUACCAAAGAUGUUUUCAUUA